ACACACACACAUACACAGUCAGCUCUGGUCCUUACUGUGUUUCUAUUUUAGCUCGACUCAGACGGCGGUCAUCAUGGCUCGCUGCAGGAGUUACUUACGAGGGCUCGCCAUCUGUGUCACGGUACUGCUGCUGGUGUCUGGUGUGGUGAUGAUCGGCGUUGGAUUUUCCUCCAUUGACGGGAACACACCGGUUGCCGAGUUGUUCGACCAGUUGUCCAGUAGCGAUGGCUUACUGGUCCUGCAGGUGUUCGGUCCGAUCACUGUGCUUUUGUCUGUUCUGGGCAUCUGUGCUGCGUCUUUGGACCUCAAACCUCUGCUGCUGGCGUUUUCUGCUCUGAUUUUCGGGAGUUUGUGGCUGUGAUGGUGUUGCCUCGCCGCUGGUUCAGGUUCAAGCUCAGAUGGACGGCGCGGGUGAAUGAGGUGUUUCUGAACGUAACACCCCUCCACAGAGCAGAGCGUUACAUCCAGAGUGAACUAGGCAAACUCCAGGCCUCCGACUCUUGUUGUGGUUUGAGGAGUUUGAGGACUGGGAGAACCAACUUCCUGUACCCUGUUUGUGCACGCCUCCUGCCUCCGACCUGCAGCCGAGCUCUCAGUCUGGUAACUCCAGCUCAGAGGGAGCCUGUGUGAGGGUGGACAGUGACCUUUACCCUCCGACCCGAUGGGUUCACUCCGAGCCCUGUGGUCCAUCCUGAAGAGCUACCUGAGCUUCCCCAUCAAAUUGAGGAUAGGAAUCAUUUCAGCCUUCGCAACCAUUACG